GCAAAGUAAUUUGUUUAAAACAUAUGAUUGAAUCUCCGAGGCAUCAUAGUUUUAAAACGCAUACAAAAAUAGCUAUAUUUAGAGUAUAAAAGCUUGCCUGGUCUUACUCUUGUUACAAAUUUGACUAAUUUUCCUCCUGGAUAAAUUCUGUCGUAGACAUCUAAAGGUAAUUCGUCAUGAAAACCGCAUUAGUGCUCGUCAUUUUAAUAGCUGCUGCUAUAGCGCAACCUCUGGGCUACCUUGGUUCACAUGGUUAUCUCGGAGUUUUAGGGGGUGGAGGUUUACAUGGAGGUUUCCACGGCGGUUUUCAUGGAGGUUUCCACGGAGGUUUUCAUGGAGGUUUUCCUGGAUUUGGAAUAUAUGGUGGUGACUUUGAGGGUGAAUACGAAGGCGGAGAAUAUGAAGGUGGCUAUGACUUUUAGGGUGACAUUGACCGUGGUGACUUUGCCGAUAUGUAAGAGCGACGGACAGCACGGAAUACCUCGCCUUCCCAUCCUUCAUGAGUUCACCAUUAAUUUAUGCGUCCAAUUGUUCUGAUAUUUAUAUCGCACAUUGCCAGGUUUUAUAUGUUAUUUAUUAUCAUCAAACCUGCGAAAGAACUUAGUCAAACGCCUUUUUGUAGUCCACGAAGACACAUUAUAGUUUUCGAAGAGCUAAGUAUCCGAAUACGAUGAACGCCUUCUUCACUCCAAGUGUGUAUUCAGUUAUAUAAGAGUAAGUCUUGCAAAUAUGUUUCUCAGAUUGUUUUGAAUUCAUUGCGUAACAGUUGUGAGUAGUUGCAUGUAUUGUAUAAUUCCCUGUUUACACAAGAAGGAUUCAAAUCUUAUUAGCAAAUAUACUCGUAGCAAACUUUAUUAUAUUUGUAUAGACUAUAUACACGUUUGAUACAAUUAUACUUGAACCUGUUAAGACAAUGUAGUUCAUGUUGUGUAUGAGCAAUUAUUUCAUUAAAAUAUUUUUAAUAAAUGGCAAGUUCUGUUAUACUUUACUAGGAUUCGGUGAAAAAUAAUGUUUAUCUAGCAUCUGAUUUGUAUUUUAUUCGUUGGACAUGUUACUGUUUUACUGAUUUUACAACCUUCAUCUUAUAACGAAAUGAUCAUUGUAUAUGGUAUAUCUGGUGUCACUUGUCAGUUUAUUUUAAAUAUUGAUAUCUCAUAGGAAACUGCCAAUGAGUCUUUGCACGUUUUUACGUUGGAGGUAUCCGAAUCAAAACUAGAAAUGUAUUGCUGAUUUCAUUAUGCGCUUUAUUACAAUUUAUGAUUGUAUUACUGCAUAUUCUACAUAUUAUUAAGACAAAAUAGGACAUUAGUAUACACUGAAUAAGGUGUGCUGAGUAUUCAAAUAUAUUUACGCACAACUUCUUAUAGAUAUAUACAAUAGAUUAAUUGUUACUGCAACUGUUAACAACAAUAUGAGACUUAUGCAAUGUUUAAUUCAAAUAUUGCCCUUUUGUAUAUGUUAUAUAUAUAAAUAUUAUCCACUUUAACAUACCCAGUAUAACGACGUUAUGUAACCAAUUAAUCUGACCACUAAAAAUGUCCACUAAGAAGAUUUAACCAUUCACUUUUUGGGAAAUAAGUCAUUUAUUAUUUAGUCGUAUGCUUAGUUGACUUUCAAGGACAGUCGCAUUCUUUUUUCAUUCACUGAUCUGUAAAUUCUUUUUUUGUAAUGCUAUUAUUUUUCAUUGCAUUUAUUAAUAUGUAUCCUAAUUUUCAGUAACUUUUGUCCGAACUCUCAAUACUUUCUGCUGGUUAACAAUAAUAAUACUUUAUCAAUUUUUCUCAUUGCUGUUUUUCUUCUCUAUGGUGCUCACACAGUCUAUCAUCUCCCAACACGAAUUUUCUAUACUGUUUUGCUCACACACAUGUUCUUACGCACUUAAGGCUGUCAUAAGUGAAAGGUAUCACCCACCAUGACAUUCACAUUUGAACGUGUCUUAUAAUCCAACAGAGCCUUAGUGAACCAGCUCUUCACCACGCGAGUCGUACUUUACAUUGUUGUUAAAUUUCCCUUGACUCUUAUACUUCUAUUAAUAUCAGGUGAUGUUCCCCCGAAUCCAGGACCAGAAUCAGUUUCAUCAGACAACAUGUCAACACCAAUGUACUCUGAUCUUCUCAAUAGUGGUUUAAGCAUUAUGCACCUUAACAUCCAAAGUCUGAAACCCAAACUAGAUAUCCUUGCAGUUGAAUCUCUCCCUUAUUACAUCAUGGUCCUUACAGAAACAUGGCUAAGCCAUGACGUGAUUAAUGAAGAUGUUUUUAUUCCUGACUUUAGUCAACCUGUUCGAUGCGAUCGUAAUGACAGAUUAUGUGGCGGUGUGGCGAUAUACGUACGCCAGAACACUAACGUUACUCAUCGCCUCGCCAAGACUAUAGCUUCCACUUUUCUCUAUUUUAUCGGUUAAUGGUCUCGAAGCUGUAUGGAUAGAGUAACAUGUAAAUAAUCGUAAUCUUCUUUUAGGCGGUAUAUACAGACGUCCUAGUGCUAAUAACAACUAUUGGCAACUUCUUGAACAUAGUAUUGAUCAGGCCUUUAAUAAACCUUGUAAUGAUAUUUUGAUCACCGGCGACUUUAACACUGACGUUCUUUCAAAUCCAUCCAACUGGUUGGACAGAUUUAUGUCAUCAUAUAAUGCACAUCAACUUAUAGGUACUCCUACUCACUUCACAGAACGAUCUUCUUCUCUCAUAGACUUGUUUUUUAUAAAACAUCCCGAUAAUGUUAUUUCUAGUUUUGUUGCCGAUCCUUUUGUUCCAGACCUCGUUCGUUUCCACUGCCCAGUCGUCUGUGUCCUCAAAUUUAACAAACCGAAACAGUCUUGUUUUAAACGCCGAAUUUGGCAAUACGACCGUUGUAAUUUUAAUGAUUUUAGACAAGAACUGGGAACAUGUGACUGGAAUUUUCUAAACAAUAAUGACCUAGAAUAAACAUCAUUUCAGAUAUCAUUACUUUUGUAGCAUCGAAAACAAUUCCAAAAAAAGUAAUAACUGUUAGACCAAAUGAUACCUUGGAUGAACGGCUCAAUUAGAAAAUUAAUACGCAAACGCAACAGAAUCCAUAAAAUAGCGAAAACCUCCAAUGAUCCUAUUACCUGGGCUAAUUUUAGGAAAAUAAGAAAUGAGGUUACAAAUCUAAUAAGAAAAUCGAAAUCUGAAUACCUAUCAAUAUAAUGAACUCUAACAAUACAACAGCUAAAGAAUGGUUCAAAUUGGCAAAAAAAGGUAACCAAAAAGGAUUCCUAAAAAUCAAUCCCGAACUUGGUAAAAGGCAAUGCUCAAGGUUCAAGUGAUGUAGACAAAGCGAACUUAUUAAAUCAAUAUUUCUGUUCUCAGUCAUCCAUAGAUGAUUCAGGUCACGACUUACCAAAUAUCCCUGUCAGCAGAUGCUCGCUUCAGGACAUAUCUAUAUCAGUCCAAGACGUGACUGACAGUAUAAAUUCAAUCGACCCCGGAAAGGCAUGUGGCCCAGAUUUGUUCAGUCCCCGUCUUAUUCGGGAGAGAUCCAGCGUUCUUGCUAAACCCCUGUCCAUCUACUUCAACAAGCUCCUUCAGCAAUCUUUCUUUCCUACUUCUUGGAAACUCGCUAAUGUCACGCCAAUAUUCAAGAAGUCCGACCCAUCCAAACCGUCUAACUAUCGUCCUGUCUCGCUCUUAAGCUUCAUAGGCCAACUUAUGGAACGCUGUAUCCACAAGCACUUCUACAAUUACAUUGUCGCAAAUAACCUUCUAACUUUGCAUCAGUCUGGUUUCAUAAAAGGUGAUUCAACGGUUAACCAGCUGACCUUCUUUUAAAAUGAAAUAUGUCAACCACUGACUGAGGGCAAGGAAGUGCGAGCGGUGUUUUGUGAUAUAUCAAAAGCCUACGAUAGAGUCUGGCAUCGGCGUCUCCUUCACAAACUUUCUUCUUUUGGAAUCCGCGGAAAGCUCAUAGAGUGGUUCUCGUCAUACCUUUACCUAAAAGGCAACGAGUUGUUAUUUCAAAUACUUCUUCGUCCUGGCGAGACAUUUCCGCUGACGUUCCUCAGGGUUCAAUUCUUGGACCUCUUUUGUUUCUAAUCUAUAUAAACGAUAUUGUAAAUGAUCUCCAGGCCAACAUCCGGCUGUUUGCCGAUGAAACUACACUAUACAUAAGUGUUGAUUCCCCGGAUGCAUCCGCUGUUGUCCUUAAUUCUGAUCUUCGUAAAAUAACAAACUGGUCAAGAUCUUGGCUUGUUGAUUUUAACCCCCAAAAACUGAAACUGUUCUAUUCUCUAGGAAGAGAGAUCGUGCAAACCAUUCCACUCUAAUCAUGGACGACGUCCCUAUUUCUUCUGUUAAAACUCACAAACAUCUUGGUAUUUCAUUUUCCGAGGACGCUAAGUGGAAGGAGCAUAUAUCUUCGUCUGUAAAUAGGCUUGGCAGAGGUAAGGCAUAAUGCGACCGCUGAAAUUUAUCUUGUCACGUUCCAGUCUGGAAAGAAUGUACUUUUCAUUCGUUAGGCCUCUUCUUGAGUACGGAGAUGUUAUAUGGGACAAUUGUUCUGUAGAAUUAAAAAAUGAUAUAGAUGCUGUUCAAAAUGAGGCUGUGAGGAUCGUUACUGGUGCGACCAAACUAUGCAAUAUUCAAUCGAUGCUGUAUGAGCUUCGGUGGGAGACCCUUUCAAUAAGGCGUAAGAAAAACAGGCUCGUUCUAUUCUACAAAAUGACAAACGGUCUUACUCCUCAUUAUCUCAGCAGUUUGAUUCCUGAAAACCAAAAUCGAUAUCCUUUAAGGAAUUCCGAUAACAUACCUACGUUACCAUCUAGAACGCAACUUUAUAACUCUUCUUUUUUGCCAGCAACUAUUCGCGACAGGAAUUCUCUCCCGUCUGAUGUUCGAAAUUGUAACUCUUCAAACCUUCAAAACUAAAAUCACAAAACAACAAACAAAGUCUCCCACCCUUUUUAACGUUGGAACACGUAAAAACCAGAUAUUAUAUAAUCGUGUACGUCUCGGGUGCAGCUCAACAUUACCGACACUGCUCUCUGCAGAUGCGGAGCCCCUGACUCUGUUUCCCAUUUCUUGCUUCAAUGUCUCCUUUACACCACGCGUAUGUUGGACCGAUGUCAAGAGCUAUGCGAGCCCCUCCUUUCUCUUCUUUUCUAUUCUAUCGAUUUUAUUGUUCUAAAUCAUUUCUCACAUUAAAUUUUUAUUUGAUAUUAGUAAUGUGACAUAUACAUAUGUUUAAAAGAGUCCGUAUACUUAGGUUAUUUCUCAAAACGCUUUACCUCAAACAACUUCCCAACUCUUGAAACAUUAUUCAAGUAUAAAUUUAAUUACCUUGUUACCAUGUUUAUAACUGUCAUACUGAUCGUAACCUUGUACAUUUAUUGUUGUAAAUUUGUUUAUUGGAAUGGAAUUUACAUAAGCUAUCAGCUUGUUUUCCAAUCCAUGUAUUUUGACCUGUAAAACUGUGUUGUACAUGUUAUGUUGCUUCAAAAAUAAAUAUUGUUUAAACUAACGAAAUGGAGUUUAACAUAGUAUUACAUUAAUUCAAUUUUACAAGACAAUAAGAGAUCUAUUUAAC